rnacentral:rRNA from 1 species
CAGUCGCCGCGGUAAUACAGAGGGUGCGAGCGUUAAUCGGAUUUACUGGGCGUAAAGCGUGCGUAGGCGGCUAAUUGAGUCGGAUGUGAAAUCCCCGAGCUUAACUUGGGAAUUGCAUUCGAUACUGGGAAGCUAGAGUAUGGGAGAGGAUGGUAGAAUUCCAGGUGUAGCGGUGAAAUGCGUAGAGAUCUGGAGGAAUACCGAUGGCGAAGGCAGCCAUCUGGCCUAAUACUGACGCUGAGGUACGAAAGCAUGGGGAGCAAACAGGAUUAGAUACCCCGGUAGUCCCUGUCUCUUAUAC